CGUGGGUGGAGCUUGUUAUCAAAGAAAGCAAGCUGCCGCCACCAACUCUUAAUUAAGCCAGUAUCCUCCUCCUUGUUUUGAUUCCAAUUUCCCCAUUUUUGAAACCGUAAC